rnacentral:rRNA from 1 species
GGCGCAGGCGGUUAGGAUAGUCUGAAGUGAAAGUCCAGGGCUCAACCUUGGAAAGCCUUUGGAUACUGCCUAACUAGAGUACGGGAGAGGAGAGUGGAAUUCCUGGUGUAGCGGUGAAAUGCGUAGAUAUCAGGAGGAACACCUGUGGCGAAAGCGACUCUCUGGCCCGAUACUGACGCUGAGGCCCGAAAGCGUGGGGAGCGAACA